UCGAGAAUCUUCGGCAAUGGGCGCAAGCCUGACCGAGCGACGCCGCGUGGAGGACGAAGGCCUUCGGGUUGUAAACUCCUGUCGAGGGGAAGGAAGAAACGGCGCAGAGCCGCUUUUGACCGCUCCCUGGAGGAAGCACGGGCUAAGUUCGUGCCAGCAGCCGCGGUAAGACGAACCGUGCGAACGUUAUUCGGAAUCACUGGGCUUAAAGCGCGUGUAGGCGGACUGCCACGUCGGGCGCUGAAAUCCCCCGGCUCAACCGGGGAAUGGGCACCGAUACGAGCAGUCUUGAGGGGAAUAGGGGGACCUGGAACUUCCGGUGGAGCGGUGAAAUGCGUUGAGAUCGGAAGGAACGCCCGUGGCGAAAGCGAGGUCCUGGGUUUCUACUGACGCUGAGACGCGAAAGCCAGGGGAGCAAACGGGAUUAGAUACCCCUGUAGUCC
rnacentral:rRNA from 1 species